GUUUCUGCAGGAGCCCAAGAAGAGGCCGAAACCGAGACCAUGCCUGGGAAGCUGAAGGUGAAAAUCGUGGCCGGGCGCCAUUUGCCAGUGAUGGACCGUGCUAGUGACCUGACUGAUGCCUUCGUGGAGGUAAAAUUUGGUAAUACCACCUUUAAAACAGAUGUGUACCUUAAGUCACUCAACCCUCAGUGGAACUCGGAGUGGUUUAAAUUUGAGGUAAGUUUUUAAAUGUCAGCAUUUUUGAGUGUAUUUUUUUGAGGUGACUCUUUUCCCUCAGGAAUAAUGAGAACCUUUUAUUUCAGGCAUAGUACUAUUUCUACAUCAUAAAAAUAUUUUCUUUUCUGCUUACCUAGGAAUAUUGAGUCUAAAAAAAGUUGUAUUACAUUUAAGAAAAUAUAGUAUAUGAUAACACAUGAACAAAAGAAGUCCUCAGAUGUAUUAUAUUAUUAUUAUUGUAGUUUUCUCUAGAUUUUAGCACAUACCAAAAAUUACUUAAGAAUAGUAUAUGGAUUAAAAUAAAUUUUUAAAAAUUGUAGUACUAUAUAUUGUGAAUAUUGCCAUUUAAAUCAUUUGUAAGUGUACAGCUUGGUAGCAUUAAUUACAUUCACAGUGUUUUGCCACCAUCACCGCUAUUUCCAGAACUUUUUCUUUAUCCUAAAUGGAAAUUGUAUACUCACUAACCAAUAACUUCCCAUUCCCUCCUCUCCCUAGACUCUGGUGACCUCUAAUCUACUUUCUGUCUCUGAAUUUGCUUAUGCUAGAUAU
rnacentral:sRNA from 1 species